rnacentral:rRNA from 1 species
GUUUGAUCCUGGCUCAGGAUGAACGCUGGCGGCGUGCCUAAUACAUGCAAGUCGAACGCGCUGUGGCAAUUAUUGAGAAGCUUGCUUCAAUUUAAUUGCAAUGCAGCGAGUGGCGAACGGGUGAGUAACACGUGGGAAACCUACCUCUUAGCAGGGGAUAACAUUUGGAAACAGAUGCUAAUACCGUAUAAUAACUUUUACCGCAUGGUGAAAGUUUGAAAGAUGGUUCUGCUAUCACUAAGAGAUGGUCACGCGGUGUAUUAGCUAGAUGGUGAGGUAAUGGCUCACCAUGGCGAUGAUACAUAGCCGAGUUGAGAGACUGAUCGGCCACAUUGGAACUGAGACACGGUCCAAACUCCUACGGGAGGCAGCAGUAGGGAAUCUUCCACAAUGGACGAAAGUCUGAUGGAGCAACGCCGCGUGUGUGAUGAAGGGUUUCGGCUCGUAAAACACUGUUAUAAGAGAAGAACGUCAGUGAGAGUAACUGUUCAUUGAGUGACGGUAUCUUAUCAGAAAGGGACGGCUAAAUACGUGCCAGCAGCCGCGGUAAUACGUAUGUCCCAAGCGUUAUCCGGAUUUAUUGGGCGUAAAGCGAGCGCAGGCGGUUAUUUAAGUCUGAUGUGAAAGCCUACGG